AAAGUAGUGAAUAAGAAAGGCAUCGAAAAGCAUUUGAUACUGAUUUUUCGUACUUUCAUUCCAUGAAGCACUCUCGAAGUGAUGGAGAAAAGUUCAUCAUCUCCUAGAACAGGCUUGCUUUCGUGUUUGGGGUGUCUCAAAUUGAAGCUUCCUUGGACAAGGAGAACAAGCACUUACAAACCCGUUGGUGGCUUUGGGUAUGACCCUUUAAGCUAUGCUCAAAACUUCGAUGAGGGUUGCAUGGACGACGAGGAAGAAUCUACUUCGCGUCGUAGAUUCUCAGAUAGAUUUGCUGCUCCCUCAUCAAGUUCAACUAAAACUCUCAAAUAGCGAUAAGGUUGAAGCUUUGAAGCGUACAAAAGGGCACUAAUUUGCUGCGUGACUCUUGUAUCUAACAACUUCAAGAAGAGAUUGGGUAUUCCUUGGAAUAACUGGAAACUUUUGUUAGCUUACUAUUUAUGGUUAUUUGUACUAUGUAGUGAAACUAAAUAUAUUCCUUAGUUUAAACGCUAUGUGAAAGUGGUUGGCUCUACGAGAUGAUCGAGGGGGUUUUAUCUGUUCUAACAGAAAACUACUACAAGAGUUUGAGAGCUAUUCAUCAUUAAUUUUCAUUCUUUUUGAGCUUA